AGAGUUUGAUCAUGGCUCAGAAUGAACGCUGGCGGCGUGCCUAACACAUGCAAGUCGCACGAGAAAGCUUCAGCUUGCUGGAGUGAGUAAAGUGGCGAACGGGUGAGUAACGCGUGGGCAAUCUGCCCUUGAAUUGGGGAUAACCCCGCGAAAGCGGGGCUAAUACCGGAUAACAUCUAAAAAACUUCGGUUUUUCAGAUCAAAGGUGGCCUCUACAUGUAAGCUACUGUUUGAGGAUGAGCCCGCGUACCAUUAGCUUGUUGGUAGGGUAACAGCCUACCAAGGCUACGAUGGUUAGCUGGUCUGAGAGGAUGAUCAGCCACACUGGAACUGAAACACGGUCCAGACUCCUACGGGAGGCAGCAGUGAGGAAUUUUGCGCAAUGGGGGAAACCCUGACGCAGCAACGCCGCGUGAGUGAUGAAGGCUUUCGGGUCGUAAAGCUCUGUCAAGUGGGAAGAACCUGCAUCAUGCUAAUAUCAUGUUGCACUGACGGUACCACUGAAGGAAGCGCCGGCUAACUCCGUGCCAGCAGCCGCGGUAAUACGGGGGGCGCAAGCGUUAUUCGGAAUCAUUGGGCGUAAAGAGCGCGUAGGCGGUCUCUUAAGUCAGAUGUGAAAGCCUUUCGCUUAACGGAAGAAGUGCAUUUGAAACUAAGGGGCUUGAGUAUGGGAGAGGGAAGUGGAAUUCCUGGUGUAGCGGUGAAAUGCGUAGAUAUCAGGAGGAACACCGGUGGCGAAGGCGACUUCCUGGACCAAUACUGACGCUGAGGCGCGAAGGCGUGGGGAGCAAACAGGAUUAGAUACCCUAGUAGUCC
rnacentral:rRNA from 1 species